rnacentral:rRNA from 1 species
GACGUGGUAGCCUGCGAAAAGUGUCGGGGAGCUGGCAACAAGCUUUGAUCCGGCAAUAUCCGAAUGGGGAAACCCACUGCUUCGGCAGUAUCCUGCAGUGAAUUCAUAGCUGCUGGAAGCGAACCCGGUGAACUGAAAUAUCUAAGUAACCGGAGGAAAAGAAAUCAACCGAGAUUCCCUAAGUAGUGACGAGCGAACGGGGAGCAGCCCUUAAGCUGGAAUGGCUUUAGAAAAACAAUCUGGAAAGAUUGGCCAUAGAAGGUGAUAGCCCUGUAUUUAAAAGGGCCACUCCAGUGAAGACGAGUAGGGCGGGGCACGUGAAACCCUGUCUGAAUAUGGGGGGACCAUCCUCCAAGGCUAAAUACUCCUGACCGACCGAUAGUGAACCAGUACCGUGAGGGAAAGGCGAAAAGAACCCCGGAGAGGGGAGUGAAAUAGAUCCUGAAACCGUGUGCGUACAAGCAGUAGGAGCUCGCAAGAGUGACUGCGUACCUUUUGUAUAAUGGGUCAGCGACUUACUGUUCGUGGCAAGCUUAACCGUAUAGGGGAGGCGAAGGGAAACCGAGUCUGAUAAGGGCGCAUAGUCGCGGGCAGUAGACCCGAAACCGGGUGAUCUAGUCAUGGCCAGGGUGAAGGUGCCGUAACAGGUACUGGAGGCCCGAACCCACGUCUGUUGCAAAAGACGGGGAUGAGCUGUGAUUAGGAGUGAAAAGCUAAUCGAACCCGGAGAUAGCUGGUUCUCCUCGAAAGCUAUUUAGGUAGCGCCUCGGACGAAUACUACUGGGGGUAGAGCACUGUUAUGGCUAGGGGGUCAUCGCGACUUACCAAACCAUUGCAAACUCCGAAUACCAGUACGUACUAUCCGGGAGACACACGGCGGGUGCUAACGUCCGUCGUGAAAAGGGAAACAACCCAGACCCACAGCUAAGGUCCCAAAUUCACUGCUAAGUGGAAAACGAUGUGGAAAGGCAUAGACAGCCAGGAGGUUGGCUUAGAAGCAGCCACCCUUUAAAGAAAGCGUAAUAGCUCACUGGUCGAGUCGGUCUGCGCGGAAGAUUUAACGGGGCUAAGCAGUGAACCGAAGCUUGGGGUGCAUAAAACUUGUUUUAUGCGCGGUAGAGGAGCGUUCCGUAAGCCUGCGAAGGUGGAUUGAGAAGUCUGCUGGAGGUAUCGGAAGUGCGAAUGCUGACAUGAGUAACGAUAAUGCGGGUGAAAAGCCCGCACGCCGAAAGCCCAAGGUUUCCUUGCGCAACGUUAAUCGACGCAGGGUUAGUCGGUCCCUAAGGCGAGGGCGAAAGCCGUAGUCGAUGGGAAGCAGGUUAAUAUUCCUGCACCUCGCGUGAGUGCGAUGGAGGGACGGAGAAGGUUAGGUGUACCGGGCGUUGGUUGUCCCGGGGAAAGGCGGUAGGUUUGGAUCUUUGGCAAAUCCGGGAUCCUUUAAGACCGAGCACCGAGACGAGCCUUUAUGGCGAAGUCACUGAUACCACGCUUCCAGGAAAAGCUCCUAAGCUUCAGCUCACGAAGACCGUACCGUAAACCGACACAGGUGGGUAGGAUGAGAAUUCUCAGGCGCUUGAGAGAACUCGGGUGAAGGAACUAGGCAACAUGGCACCGUAACUUCGGGAGAAGGUGCACCCUUUUUGGUGGCUCAUGCGAGCUAUAGCUGAAGAGGGUCGCAGAAACCAGGCCGCUGCGACUGUUUAUCAAAAACACAGCACUCUGCAAACACGAAAGUGGACGUAUAGGGUGUGACGCCUGCCCGGUGCUGGAAGGUUAAUUGAUGGGGUCAGCCGCAAGGCGAAGCUCUUGAUCGAAGCCCCAGUAAACGGCGGCCGUAACUAUAACGGUCCUAAGGUAGCGAAAUUCCUUGUCGGGUAAGUUCCGACCUGCACGAAUGGCGUAACGACAGCGGCGCUGUCUCCACCCGAGACUCAGUGAAAUUGAAAUCGCUGUGAAGAUGCAGCGUUCCCGUGGCAAGACGGAAAGACCCCGUGAACCUUUACUAUAGCUUUACACUGAACGUUGAGUUCGUCUGUGUAGGAUAGGUGGGAGGCUAUGAAACUGUGGCGCUAGCUGCAGUGGAGCCAUCCUUGAAAUACCACCCUGUCGUGCUUGACGUUCUAACCUAGAUCCGUUAUCCGGAUCAGGGACCGUGUAUGGUGGGUAGUUUGACUGGGGCGGUCUCCUCCUAAAGAGUAACGGAGGAGCACGAAGGUACGCUCAGCGCGGUCGGACAUCGCGCACUGUGUGCAAAGGCAUAAGCGUGCUUGACUGCAAGAUCGACGGAUCAAGCAGGUACGAAAGUAGGUCUUAGUGAUCCGGUGGUUCUGUAUGGAAGGGCCAUCGCUCAACGGAUAAAAGGUACUCCGGGGAUAACAGGCUGAUACCGCCCAAGAGUUCAUAUCGACGGCGGUGUUUGGCACCUCGAUGUCGGCUCAUCACAUCCUGGGGCUGUAGUCGGUCCCAAGGGUAUGGCUGUUCGCCAUUUAAAGUGGUACGCGAGCUGGGUUCAGAACGUCGUGAGACAGUUCGGUCCCUAUCUGCCAUGGGCGUUGGAAGUUUGAGAGGGGCUGCUCCUAGUACGAGAGGACCGGAGUGGACGAACCUCUGGUGUUCCGGUUGUCACGCCAGUGGCAUUGCCGGGUAGCUAUGUUCGGAAGCGAUAACCGCUGAAAGCAUCUAAGCGGGAAGCGCGCCUCAAGAUGAGACUUCCCGGGGCACAAGCCCCCUAAAGGAACCAUAUAGACUAUGUGGUUGAUAGGUCAGGUGUGUAAGUACAGCAAUGUAUUGAGCUAACUGAUACUAAUGAUCCGUGCGGCUUGACCAU